rnacentral:tRNA from 1 species
GCCGGCAUAGCUCAGUAGGUUAGAGCGCUUGAUUGUGGAUCAAGAGGUCCCCCGUUCGAGCCGGGGUGCUGGUACCA